rnacentral:misc_RNA from 1 species
AAGAGACGUUGCCCUUCGGGGUAUACCUCCCACCCUUUGUUUAUUAUACCUUUGUUGCUUUGGCGGGCCCGUCCUCGGACCACCGGCUUCUGCUGGUCAGUGCCCGCCAGAGGACCUUAAAACUCUGUUUGUUAAUAUUGUCUGAGUACUAUAUAAUAGUUA